UAGUCCCCUUUUUUUAGGUCGAACGUCGAACGUUCGUCACUAGUGUCACUGUCAAAUAUCCGUCAAUGUCAAAUUCCUAAAAAUGAAAACAAAAUUAUGUAGAUUGAAUUAAACUGUAAUGAAUUCCCAAAAUUCAUCGUUAUUUAAACGGUGAUAAACUUUAAUUAAUUAUUAUUAUUUAUUUUGAAUGAAAGCAACUGAUCCUGAAUGAUCAGUAAAAAUACCAAGAGAAAAACAAUAUACCAAAUGGAUGAAAGUUUCAAAGCCAAUAACCUCAAAAAUGGGCCCCCAAUUUUUACUUGGAUUUGAUCCAAUUUCCGGCAUACUGGAAAAGAAAAGAGGACUAGAUACUAGAGAUUUAGCCUUAACAGAAAAAUUAAUAUAGUGGCAGAUCAGAUCAGUCAAAAAAAUGUGAUUUACUGCAUCAGAAAUAAAAACAGUGAGGUAUCAAUUAAAAUUCUGAAAAGACCAUGAGAAGCAGUGUGGUGGUACAGAUUCUUCCAAAAUGUUUAAAGAAGUUGGAGCACAAUAUUAAAAUCAAAUAAGUGAAAAGAAGGCAGGCCUCCAGAUAUUGGAAAUAAUUUUCCCAUAUUUUAGACCCAUUAUGGUACAACUAAAAUAAAAGACAAAAAUACAAGGUCUUCAACCUCUUUUGAGUAACGGUAAACUUUCACAAUUCUUUUUUUCUUCUGUUUCGUUAAUCAUAGGCAGAUGGCCACUGUUAGCAUCGUCGAUAGCUUUUCUAAGCUCUCGUCCACCAACGACACCAAUCAGUUUUCCAAUAACCGUUACAUACGCCAUAUUCAAAUGCAUCAUGGAAAAAAGAGAAUGGACUUUCAGUAGCGAGGUUCUCUCUACUAAUUGAAAUGGUGCUGGAUCCACUUGACAGUCGGCAAAGUCAAUUUCUUCACUUAACUGCUUUUGUUCCCAUUCGAGUUGCUCUUGUUUUGGUAAGUCACAUAUACGGAUUUCUGAUAACUGAAAUAUAGAGCAUAUUAGCUGGAGGAAAUCGAUAAGGAGAAAUUAAAGUGUCUUAAGGAUAAGACAAAAAUAUGCUUGGAUGCUUUAGUAUGUACCUUUUCUCUUAUCGCCUUCUUUUUCCUAUUCGAGCUAUCUGGAAAUCCCAUUCGGUUUAAAUUGUACUUUUUAAAUACUCUGUUUCUCACUUCGUCUUUUUCCUAAAAUAGUUAUUGAUUAUUUUAACAUAGAGGCUAAAAAUAAAGGCUUUUUUAGAAAUCAAAUUGUAUUUUCUUACUUUUAACUCAUUUGUCUCUUCAUUACCACUUUGAUCUUCUGGAUUUUUAGUCUCAUAUUCAGGACGCUUUUCAAUGCUCUUUACUACUUCCAUUCUCCUCCAAAAGCCGAUUUGUCUUUCUACUAAGUCUAUUAACUCGGUUCUCGCUACACUACCCAAUAAAAUCAUAUUUUGGUUAUUAUCCACAAAUGGAAACACUUUAAUAUUUUUAUUAGCCUUAAGAAUCCCUUUUAGUUCUUCGUAUGUCAUUCCUAAGUAGAUGUAUUUGACGUUUUUGUUCAUAAAAUCUUCGACGCAUAUUUGGUAAAUUGCUAAAAACAGUUUCAGUUAGUAGGAUUAUACAAUUUUCUUUUAAAGGAGGAAAUCCUGAGGGAUACACCAAAAGCAGAUGCUCUACCAAAUAUACCCAAGGCUUAUUACUUCAUGAUGGUGCCUUUGAGGGAACACUUUUUUUUUCAAGAAAAUUAUUUUUUAAAAAUUGAGUAGGGAGCAGUCGCUUAGAUUAACAAAGUCUUUCUAACGUUACCAUAAGAUCUCCAUAACACUAGGGUAUUAUGGAGAUAGCGCGAGGACUUGUGGACUUUUUAAUUACUUUAGACAUUCCAGAUUGAUCGUUUUAUUAUGAAUAAUUUGCUAAUUUCUUUUUGCAUAGAUAGUGCCACUUUAUUGUAAGCUUUGUUUAUUUAUAUGUUAGGUAUUUUGUGAAUGUUAUGGUCUGAUGAUGCCCUAGUCGGGCGAAACAUGUAACGUUCGUCUUUUUAUUAAAUGUUUUACGUGAUGCGGUAGAUUUGAUGUUUUGUCUUGUUUUUUAUAAAACGUAUGACCAGCAUCGUUGUGAAAUUGGAUGAAUUUUUCGAUUUAUAUUAGAGUUUACCUACCACUACUACUAGGAAGUAAAUCCGGUAAAAACGGUAAUUUUCCCGCCUGUAUGGCCAAAUCAUAAAUACUGGGAGUGAAAAACCGGGCGAUUCCAUUAGCGAUAAGGUUAGAAAUUAAAACCGGGAUUACGUGGCUAAUUUGUGAGGUCAUUUCAAACAUAAUCACGCUGGUUGAUAACGUGUGAGUUACAGCACCACUCCAGGCGGACGCCCCUACUGUUGCGUACGCACCAGGAAACCAGGUUGCCAUAAGUUCACCCGCUAUCCUUCCCAGAGCAGCACCAGCUCGGAAAUUUGGUAUAAAAGAUCCGCAAGGGAUAGGCAUUGAAGAAGCAAAUAUUGACGCCAAAAACUGAAAACUUAGUAAUCGCACAAAAGCAAUAUGGAUAUUUAUAGAUAGCUCACC
rnacentral:lncRNA from 1 species